rnacentral:piRNA from 1 species
UUCUAUAAUAUGGUAGGAAAUCAUUAGCCUU